CAGCCGCCACGGGAAUACGGAGGGUGCAAGCGUUAAUCGGAAUUACUGGGCGUAAAGCGCACGCAGGCGGUCUGACAAGUCAGAUGUGAAAUCCCCGGGCUUAACCUGGGAACUGCAUUUGAAACUGUCAGGCUGGAGUCUUGUAGAGGGGGGUGGAAUUCCAGGUGUAGCGGUGAAAUGCGUAGAGAUCUGGAGGAAUACCGGUGGCGAAGGCGGCCCCCUGGACAAAGACUGACGCUCAGGUGCGAAAGCGUGGGGAGCAAACAGGAUUAGAUACCCCGGUAGUCCCUGUCUCUUAUAU
rnacentral:rRNA from 1 species